rnacentral:lncRNA from 1 species
UCUGAUUUAAACUAUGUUCUCAUGGUCGUAGAAUUUGUGUGAUCAUUUCUUUAUAAUUUAAAGAAAUGAAUGAAUUAUUUCAUAGAAAGAGGCUUUGAAUUUGUUGUUACUCAGCCUGGCUUUAUUUUUUUGAUAUUUUUAUUAGAUAUUUUCUUUAUUUGCAUUUCCUAUGUUAUACCUUUUCCUCCUUUCCCCUCUGAAAACCCCCCUAUCCCAUCCCCCACCCCCCUGCUCACUAACUCACCCACUCCUGCUUCUCUGUCCUGGCAUUCCCCUGCACUGGGAAGAUCAGGGGCUUCUCCUCUCAUUGAUGUCCUACAAGGCCAUUCUCUGCUACAUAUGCAGCUGGAGCCUUGAGUCCCUCCAUGUGUACUCUUUGGUUGAUGGUUUAGUCUGUGGGUCCUCUGGGGGUUGGUUCAUAUUGUUUUUCCUCCUGAGGGGCUGCAAACCCCUUCAGCUCCUUGGGUUCUUUCUCUAACUCCUCCAUUGGGAACCACAUGCUUACUCCAGUGGUUGGCUGAGAGUAUUUGUCAGGCACUGGCCGAGCCUCUCAGGAGAUAGCUAUAUCUGGCUCCUGUUAGUAAGUACGUGUUGGCAUCAAUGAUAGCGUCUGGGUUUGGUAACUAUAUAUGGGAUGGAUCCCCAGGUGGGGCAGUCUCUAGAUGGCCUUUCAUUCACUCUCUAUUCCACAUUUUGUCUCUGUAUCUACUCCUAUAGGUAUUUUGUUCUUAAAGCUGUCUUUUAUUGCUCUUUAUAAUUUGAUUUGUCAUUCAAAUGUACAGCCCAGAAUCUUUCUCUCUCUUAUAAUCAGUCUUGUGUUUCAGCAUUAAUACUGUUUUCUUGCUACAGAGGCAUAGAAAAUAUUGCAUCUAUGUGUGGUAAUUUUGGUAAUAUUAAAGGAGCUCUUAAUGGAAUGUAUAUCAAGUAGGUGUGAGGAAUCGGUCUACAUUCAGGAGUGAUACUGAGGAUAGUAAAAAAUGUCUAGUAUGUUGAUAUGUACUCAAACAAGAAAAGCAUGGAGUGAAAAAAAUCAGAGAUAAUGAAUUAUUAUAAUAAAAUGAUACUGGCAGCUUUGAAAUGGAAAAAUCCAAUUGAAAGGCAAGAAAAACAAGAAAAACUGAUUUAUCGAACAGUUCUCACUGUUAGUAAAUGAGGAAACCCCUUAAUGAAUACAAGUUUGGGAACAAUUAAAGGAUGUAUAAUCUCAACUCAUCAUAUUGAGGUUUCUAUGCAAAUGGCUAAUCCAAUUUUGAUACAUUUUGAAAUAUAGGCCCCUGUCUCUUCCUCAUGAUUAUGCAUCAUCCAUGGCAAAUUAUUACUUCAUAUUUCCAGUCAGCUAAUUUGAUAUUCACUAUCCUAAUUUUGGUAAACAUUGUUUAGUUUGAUCUAUUAUAGUAAUCUGAAGACUAGGGUCUUGUACCAGUCAAUUCCAAUGCUUGUCUGUGUUUUCUCAGUGUUAUCAUUUUGGGGAUAAUACAGUUUUACCCAUUAUCAGUGAUUCUAUCAAACUGAAUGCCUAACACAGGAUAACUUAUUUAGAAGUAAAGUAUGCUUGUUCUAGCCCCUGAGUGUUAGUAAUCUAGGGUCAACUCAUUGAUCUUUCAGUUCCAAGAGGACACACUAUACUCCAGAGUGAGGUCAUUGUAUCUUUAGAUGGGAGACCAGGUCAGGAAGACCCACUGCCAUCAUCUUUUUGUAGCAGCAUGUGUCCGCUGAUUCUGCCCCUGUUAUCUAAAUACCUCCUCUAUACUCUGUACCUUGACAGCUGCCUAUAGGAGAACAGGAGUCCAAGACCUACGGGUGAGGCAUCCAUUGAAAUUUAAACCCUAGUGUAUGGACAGGCAGCAGUUGUUUACUCUUUCCCUUAAUGGGCAUAUAGGUUGUUCUCAUUUUUUACUGUGAGGAAUAAAUCCUGCUACAUUUAUGUACAAAUCUAUGUGUGCACAUAUGUUUUCAUAACUCCUGGAAGAAUACCAAGGAAUAGAAAUGUUGAGUCAUAUGCUAAGUGUGUCUUUAAUUUCGUGAGGUACUGCCUAUCUGUUUUGACAACUUGUUAGACUGUUUGCUGCUCCCCUUGGCAGAGUAGGAGUGUUCUGGAUCUAAGCAUCCUUGCUAGAGAAUCACAGUGACGUGUGUUAACUUUAAUCCAAGUUAGUUAAGGUUUUGUAGUAUCUGUUGUUAUUUUCACUAUUUGUUUUUAUUUGAUAAGUAUAGAAUGUUCGUAUCAUUUAUACUUUUUGUAGCCUUUUAUGAACUGUUCAGUUUUUCUCAUUUCAAAUUAUCUGUUGGCUUGCUUUAAAAAAUAUGUGUUUGAAAGAGUAGUUAUUUUAGAUUUUGAUAAAAUGUAAUGCGUUAUUUUUGAAGAUUUAUUUCUUUUUUAUUAUAUAUAUGUAUAUAUAAGUGUUAAAUAUAUAUACAUAUAUAUAUAUGGAUAGAUAGAUAGAUAGAUAGAUAGACAGACAGAUAGAUAUAAGAAUUUUUUGAUUGCAUAUAUGUAUAUCCAUCACAUGUCUGCAUAGGACAGAAAUGGUGGUGGGUUGCAUGGAACUAAAUUUAAGGAUUAUUGUUAGCUGUUAAGUGGGUUCUGGGAACCAAAUCCAGGUCAUCUGCAAUAGCAGCAAGUACUAAAAAUGGCUGAGGCAUCAUCACUCAUGCCCCAUAUGGAACAUAUUGUCAUUAUUUUUCUCUGAUGCUUCCUAUCUAUAAUUUAACCUUGUUUCCUAUCUAUAAGAUCUUUACUUAUGCCAAGAUCAUGAUAGUCUCACUGUGAUGAAAUUUUCUAGAAAAUUCAUUUUUUAAAGGUUUGACUUAAUUUUUUGUACAUAGUAAAAGAGAUAAUUAUAAAAAUUUAAGGUAUUAACAGUAGAACAAUAAAUACACAUUAUAACUGUGACAAAUAAUUUAUAUAAAUAUUUACUUUAUAAAAUUUUGUCAUUUAUAAUUGACUAAAUUUUAUAAAAUAAUUUUCCAAAAUAUGUUAGUAAUAUAAAUGUUCUUUUGAAUAUUUUGUUUAAUUUUAGUUUUGCUUUUUAAAAAUUCAAUGUUUGUGGAUUAUAUUUAUAUCACCCCACUUUUUCCAGCCCCUCUUUCUUGUGUCUACCUCCAUUCCCUCUCAAGUUAAUGGCCUCAAUUUCAUUAAUUUUGUUUCAUAUUAUAUAUAUAUAUAUAUAUAUGGUGUGUGUGUGUGUUUGAGUGUGUAUUAAAUAACUUGCCAAAUUUGUUAGAUAUGUAAAAAUUUCUGUCUAAAUCUUUAAGCACUGCAUUGG